UACGUAGGGUGCGAGCGUUGCCCGGAUUUAUUGGGCGUAAAGGGCGCGUAGGCGGCUCAUGAAGGCUGUGGUGAAAGUCCGGGGCUCAACCUCGGAUCGGCCGUGGCGACUCGUGGGCUGGAGCUCUGUAGAGGCGGGUGGAAUUCCGGGUGUAGCGGUGGAAUGCGUAGAGAUCCGGAAGAACACCAGUGGCGAAGGCGGCCCGCUGGGCAGUGGCUGACGCUGAGGCGCGACAGCGUGGGGAGCAAACAGG
rnacentral:rRNA from 1 species